UUUUAAACUGCUGUAGAUCGGUCCAAGUGGUUUGACGCCCAAAUGACGUUAAUACAUUUCAUUUUAAAAUUGUAUACCUCGACGACAUGUGUUCAUGGUUUUAAAGCAGUAUUUGCCGCGAGGGAGGAAUAAAAGACGAUGUUUUCAUACUUAGCCGACCGCCAUUACUGGCUGAACGAGGAAGGAGAGGAAGUGGAGUCUGGCUUACGUUGCGAGCAAAGUGGGCAGAGCCGCUGAAGGAUAUCAGAGAGGCGGAGAAGCGGGGAGGACGACACACUCAACACAGCGCGCAAGGCGACCAGCACGGAGAGGAGACCUCGUCCAGCGAUGCUGUCGAAUAAACCACUAAAAUGGCCCAAAAACACGACGCCGACCCGGGUAGACGACGGGGGAUAGUCUCAGCUGCAGAUGUGGGUAUUCCCUCUGCUGAUUACACAAUGCAGUACAUACAAAAACAGCUCAUCUGACUUGAGAAAAAUGGGUUGACAUCGUGGUAUGUCGACAUUACGGAUGGAUUCGUAGAAAUUUCUCUCCAGGGUAGAACUACCCGAUUCAACUGGAUUUCGCUGACAAUGGAGACAGCGUUGUUUUAACGAGAAGAUAGCGUUGAAGAUGGCAAAUUUUGAAAAACUGAAAGCUUUUUUUUUCUUCUACGGAAUACGUAUGGACUUUUUUUUUUUAAAUUUUUUUAAGACACCAUGGACAUAGAAACAGUUCCGAGCUGUGUCGUGGACGAUUUUUUUCAGUUUUAUGAGAAGCAGAAAAUCGGCAAUUGUACACUGGAAUUAAUACUGUUUUCAAAUACUGUUUUCAAAUAAAGUGUAUGUUUUGUA